rnacentral:rRNA from 1 species
GGGCCCGCACAAGCGGUGGAGUAUGUGGUUUAAUUCGAUGCAACGCGAAGAACCUUACCAGGGUUUGACAUCCUGCGAAUCUCUUGGAAACAGGAGAGUGCCUUCGGGAACGCAGUGACAGGUGGUGCAUGGCUGUCGUCAGCUCGUGUCGUGAGAUGUUGGGUUAAGUCCCGCAACGAGCGCAACCCUUAUGUUUUGUUGCCACUUUCGCUUCGGCGGAAAGCACUCUAAACAGACUGCCUCGUCUCAACGAGGAGGAAGGUGGGGAUGACGUCAAGUCAGUAUGGCCCUUACGACCAGGGCUGCACACGUGCUACAAUGCCCAGCACAAUGGGAUGCAACACCGCGAGGUUGAGCAAAUCCACAAAACUGGGCCCAGUUCGGAUUGGAGUCUGCAACUCGACUCCAUGAAGUUGGAAUCGCUAGUAAUGGC